rnacentral:rRNA from 1 species
ACGGGUGAGUAACACGUGGGCAAUCUGCCCUUCACUCUGGGACAAGCCCUGGAAACGGGGUCUAAUACCGGAUAUGAGCCCGGGAGGCAUCUCCCGAGUUGUAAAGCUCCGGCGGUGAAGGAUGAGCCCGCGGCCUAUCAGCUUGUUGGUGAGGUAACGGCUCACCAAGGCGACGACGGGUAGCCGGCCUGAGAGGGCGACCGGCCACACUGGGACUGAGACACGGCCCAGACUCCUACGGGAGGCAGCAGUGGGGAAUAUUGCACAAUGGGCGCAAGCCUGAUGCAGCGACGCCGCGUGAGGGAUGACGGCCUUCGGGUUGUAAACCUCUUUCAGCAGGGAAGAAGCGCAAGUGACGGUACCUGCAGAAGAAGCGCCGGCUAACUACGUGCCAGCAGCCGCGGUAAUACGUAGGGCGCAAGCGUUGUCCGGAAUUAUUGGGCGUAAAGAGCUCGUAGGCGGCUUGUCACGUCGGGUGUGAAAGCCCGGGGCUUAACCCCGGGUCUGCAUUCGAUACGGGCUGGCUAGAGUGUGGUAGGGGAGAUCGGAAUUCCUGGUGUAGCGGUGAAAUGCGCAGA